ACAUUGACCUAAAAAUAGGAAAUAUGCAUGGUGCCAGGUUAUAGCAAAAGAUGCUAAUUUCCACCUGUAGUCCCUUGACAGGUUGAUGUUAAUCAUACAACACAGUCGUAACUAACCUCGCCCCUCAGUUACACCAGUUAUUAAACACUUCCAGGGAUUUAUCAUUUCUCUAUCACACGCUUGCACCUAUACAAUAAACAUACCUACCACAUAUACAUUUUUGCCACUGUGAAACAAGGAUUAUUAUAGGGAAGAUAACUGAUUGCCAACCAUGAUUUGAACUUUUGAGAUUAGUUCACCAACUGCGCUCCAAAACAAGCUUAACAGUGAGUUUCAGCAGUGUGAUGAAUACAUUAUGUGAACAUGUACACUGCCUGGGUUGUUUCCUGGAAGUAAAACAAGCGUAUCCCAAUGAAGAGUCCAUGUGUCUGGGUUGACAUAAUGUCUACACUGCCUUUUGCUGUGGACGGGGUCAGGAAAGGAAGGAAGCUUUAGGACGCCAUGAGAUGUAUUUCUCCUUCUAUCAUCUGUUCUGAAUUGAUGUUCCUACACACAAUACAUAAAAAAGGACAUUUCUAUGUAUUUAUACUUUUUUUUUCAUUUUGUCAAAUAACCAUAAACGUCACAGGUUGUUUACAUUCAGCCUCCAUUACCCCUACAAAAAACAAUCCUGUGCAUCAAAUUGCCUUCAGAAGUCCCCUGAUAAUAAAGAGAGUUUAUAACGGAUGAAAGAAGGUACUCAACCAAACCAAAAUUGACCUUUUGGCUCACAAAUUGUCAUGUGUGGCAGAAAACCAAGCCAUGCAAAUCACCCUGAUUCUAACACUUCCAAUCUGGAAACAUGGUUGUGGCAGCAUCAUGCUUUGGGGAUGCUUUCAAUUAUCAGGAACAGGAAAGCAGGUCAAAGUUGGUGCUAAGAUGGAUGGAGCAAAAUAUAGCACAAUCCUGGAAGAAAAACUGUUGAAGGCUGCAAAAGACUUGAAAUCGUGGCUAAGGCUCAUGUUUUUGAUAGACAAGAACUCUUGUUCUUGAAAUGCUUUGGUGUGGGGUGUUUGAAACUGCGCAUUCACGGAUUUGUUUUUGUUGUUGUUGGGGCGCUUAGGAAAUGAAGAUGUAAAUGUAUCUUUUUUAAAUUUUGCACAUGUGUUGUCACCUUUAUAUUAGCACUAACGUAUAUACACAUACAUACAUGAUCUAUUGUUGGAAAGACUGUUUAUUUCACUUUAAAUGGCAACAUUUAUGGGUUGGGCAGCAGAGUUGAGCAUGUGGGUUGUGCCCAUGAAAACUAACCAAAUCCUCUUUGCUGUUUUAGAUUUCCUGCAGUGUUUGGAAGAAACUGUUCUGUUGAUAGCCCAGUUUGGGACAGAUGUCAGCAGAUUUCCUCACAUUUGCCUCCAGAAUAUUUUAGUAUACAGAGGCGUUUGGCCAACUCUGCAAGAUACCAAGAUUCUUUAAACAAGCCCAAAGCUCCAGCCUUCCACCGCCAUGCUUGACAGUUGGUAUGAGGUGUUGGUGUUGACAUGCUGUGUUUGUUUUUAGCCAAACAUGACAUUGUGCGUUAUGACCAGACAUAUUUGACUUACAUUAUUGUGCUCCUUAUACUUCUAAAAUGUGAUGAAGCAGCACAAUGCUGAACACAUUCUUUUUACUUUUAUAAAUAUGUUCUAAAAGUCCCAGUUUUUUCCGUUGACCAGCAUCUGACUUUUGAACUAACAAGAUUAGCAGACCCUUGGAUCGUUUUACUCUGAACAGUUCCAUAUUAAGGAGGAAUUUGUUGCAGCUAAUGUCACCAGGGAUGUGCAGCUUUCCCGCGUGUUUUCCCAUACUCGAUGAAAUCCAUGUCACUGCCAGGACACUGCCCCUUCUUGCAGUUUUCCAUAUGACAUAACAGCUGCUACUCUUAGCCUCCAGAUCCACCAUAUUUUCUGAAGACAUAUGAACCAUCCAGGCAGCAUAUUGGAGACAGGACCUCACCAUGAAUUCCAGACUCAUCUUCCUUUUCACUUCAGCUCCCAUUGUGGGGGCAGCAGCAAAUUUCCUUUGCCAUUUUUACUUCUUAUUGCAGUGUUCCUGAGCAGAAUUGUGAGUAAGCCCACCGUCUUGUCCACACAUGAAUUGUAUUGUGUGGAUGCUGCAGUGUGGGUAAAACACAGCACUUGUUCUUACCCAGACAAAUUCUUGGAAAAUUGAGGACCCAUUAGAGGAUAUACCUGUGCAUAAUUCUUUCCAUCUUUUUGCUGCAGAAUUUCAGUAGAAUCUUGAUCUUUUUCUUCAAAUAAAAUAGGCUUCUUUGCUAAAGUUUUCACUUUGUGUGCAGAUGCAAGUUCUGUAAACAAUCCUGGUGCUUACUGAGUAAUUGUGGACAAUCCAAAGCUUUCUCCGCUACAACUGAACCUCCCACCUUGAAGUUUUUGAUGAUACAGACCGUUCAGUAAAGUGCAAUAUUCUUAGCAGCAGCUUCCUGAGAGCGAGGAUUUUUUUUUUCUAUGACAGCACUGCUGCAAACACAAGAGGACAAAGAUUUCAAGCAGGUCUGUCCCUAUUUUAUAGCAGCCGGUCUGCUAAUAAGAUGUGUUUGAUUUCAGAUGGGCACAUAUGAUUAGACUGAAAUGAGCCGAUCAGUUCAUGCCAAGACAAAAACUAUAUUUUUAUUAUAAUUUUUAUUCUAAUAAAGCUCUGGGGAAAAAAAAAUCCCUAAUAUGCAUGAGAUCACUAAGCAAAAUCACAUUACAACAAUGUGAAUCAUCACCACAAAAACUGAACUGUGAAAUCCUUUGGCUUUGACAGUAGAUCUGAAUAUGUGCAUGAUGCUGCUGGCAGACCUGACUGAUUGUAAACUCUGUGCUCAGCUUGUGUCCUCAGCUUCUUAUCUAAUAAAGGCGACUCACACGUCUCCCACAACCAAGAAACUGACCAGCUUCCAGUUUCUUCUUGAGCAGUCCGUCAUUUGCAAAGUGACAGGGGAGGCGAUGUCCGAUGGCUCCAGAGACCCGGUCGACAACAGCACCACCUUUUGCAGUUUGGAGAACCUGAUGAAUGGAAGUAAACGAACUGAUGCUAAAAGAUACAAACAGUUCAGCAACAAGUGGAUCUGUCCUGGGUUUGAUACAGCCAGCUGCAGCUGGUCUUAAGAGAGGAGGCCUGAUGUUUCACAUUGAUAUUUCUGAGAAGGACCACUGUUAGAUCUUUGUGAAAACUGAUUUUUAAUGUUUGGGUUUUUGCACAACCACAAAUCAGAAAGUUUUGGCUUUAUAAAAAAGAUAAACAUUUAUUUUUAUUAUGUUUUUUAAAGAAAACACCUUUCAGAAACAGCGCUUUACAGAAGUAUUCCUCCUUAUUGACUUUUUCACAUCUUUUUACAUAAAAACUGUAAACUUCAUUGUUUUCUAUAUGUGCAUAAUCAUAAAGUGGAAAGAAAACUAUUAAUGGUUGAUUUUCUUUGCAUAAAAAACAUUAAAAACUGAAUACUUUGUAGAAACACCUUUCACUACAUUUACAGUUCCAAAACUCCACUGUAUCUCUAGUUGUAUGUUUAGGGACAUUGUCCUCCUGGAAGGUAAACCUCAAACUCAAGCCUUUUGCAGCGUCUACCAGGUUUUCUUUCACUACUUUCCUGUAUUUACCUUCAUUAGGUAAUUUCUGAAGACGACCAGCUGCACUGGACUUUAUUUAGGGUUAUCAGAUUGAGGGUGGCUGAUUACAAAUCCACGGAACAUUUUUUACAUAUUUAUUUGUAAAAGAAUUUUGAAAAGUAUGGAUCCUUUUCCUUCUUUUUACCUCUAGUUUAUGUUCAUCUAUCACAUUGAAUCUGAAUAAUACGUGUUGAAACUUGAGGUUGUAAUGUGCUAAAUGUGAAAUAGAGGUAUGAAUACCUUUGCAAAGCAGUGGAAAUGAUAGCAUCAAAACAACAUGCAAUACAUUUUUAUUUCAUUAAUUAUUCAAACAUUUGUGGUGGUUAUUUUGUGUUCUGGAUUUUGCUCUGGUUUUGGAAGUUUUACCAUCCAUACACUAGCAAUUCAGCACAAAUCAGGUCAGCCAUAAAAUUAUGCCUAAACAUACUGUGGAAAAUAUGCUAAAUAUAAUCAAAAUAACAAAACAGACAGAGUCCACUGAGCAUCUCAGAAUGUAAAAGUAUGUAAAAGUAGAUGAUGGUCAAAUAUUAAGCUGUUAAAGUACUUUAUUUCUUUGUUGUUUGCAUUCUUGUGCAACAGGUAAUCCAAACUUUGAACUGCUUCCUAAAUUAGACAGAUGGUAAUAUCUGUACAACACACACACACGCGCGCAGCUUGGUUCAAUCAUGCAAGAUGUUUCAGCUUAACCAGCGCCCUCUACCGGGGGGAAAUAUUAAUGCAUAUUCAGAUAAUUCCGGUGGUCCUGCUGAGCACAUUCAGAGCAGUUUAACAGCUUCUGGUCAUCUCCCUGCUUCUCUAUGUCAAACCAGUUGUCAAACCAGUUGCCAAACCAUUCUGUACACUGAUACUUCAACCAUUACAUAUCAGUGCAUUUCUCUUGGAAGUUCAUUUAGUUUUUCUUUUAUUAUGGAGAGACACAGUCAUAACAUUGCUCAACUCACACGUAGCUAUUAUUUGAUUUAAUUAUGUAUUAAUUUCUGAAGACCUCUUAUUACACCCGGUUAUAUUUGUUUUGGUUCUGAUCCAUGUUUGGGCCAGCUUACGUCUCCUGAUGAAACCAAAAUACCCCAGAGUGACAACCUGCUAGUAGAUAUUAUAUGACCACCUUCCCUUAUAUUAGAGAUUUA